rnacentral:rRNA from 1 species
UCGGGAAUUUUGGGCAAUGGGGGAAACCCUGACCCAGCAACGCCGCGUGAAGGAUGAAGUAUUUCGGCAUGUAAACUUCGAAAGAAUAGGAAGAAUAAAUGACGGUACUAUUUAUAAGGUCCGGCUAACUACGUGCCAGCAGCCGCGGUAAUACGUAGGGACCAAGCGUUGUUCGGAUUUACUGGGCGUAAAGGGCGCGUAGGCGGCAUGACAAGUCACUUGUGAAAUCUCUGGGCUUAACCCAGAACGGCCAAGUGAUACUGUCGCGCUAGAGUGCAGAAGGGGCAAUCGGAAUUCUUGGUGUAGCGGUGAAAUGCGUAGAUAUCAAGAGGAACACCUGAGGUGAAGACGGGUUGCUGGGCUGACACUGACGCUGAGGCGCGAAAGCGUGGGUAGCGAACAGGAUUAGAUACCCCCGUAGUCCCUGAGCGGGCUGGCAAGGCGCAU